UGUGCACUGAGCUCAUGCUCUGCAAGGCAGCGAUCCCAGGGCUGUGCAGGGCUGUACAGGACUUUCACCUUUGUCCCUGCCCAGUGCCACACUGUGGAGGCCACAGGAUGCAUUUGAUCUACAGCAGGCAGAAUAAAUGAAUGUCACCCAUCAGGAUGACAACAGAGCUGGAAAGUUCCCAAAGGGCCCUGAGCUCUGCUCUGGGCUACAGCACUCAACUCAGGGCUGAUGGAUGCUGAGCAUUCGCACAGCAAAAAGCAGCAGCCAAGGGCAGAAGUGUGCAGAAAUGCACCUUCUGAAGAUGUCCCCAUCUUACCCACAGGUCAAACUCCACCCACUGCGAACUGCAUGUGUUGGAAAUGUUACCAUGGGAAGGUCCAAGGCUGGACCAAAGAAGACCCACCUGCUGGAUAGGAUGUCCACCCCUAGGGCACUCACCCUCCUUGGCACGAUCAUGGAGAUGGGCUCGAUGAGUCCCUUCAGGGUGACCAGCUUGUAGAAGCGGAAGACCUCACAGGCAGACACAUCCAGCCCAUGCUUCGGCAUCACCCCUGCGAAUGACCCUUCCAGACCCCUCACCUGCAGCACCCGGCCAGAGCGCGGCUCUACCACCCGCAGCUUCUUGUCCUUGCAAGAGGUGGCCAGCAGGCUGCCAUCCGUGUUGAAGGACAUGCACAGGAUGACAUCCGUGUGGCAGUCGAUCAUCUUGACGGGCUCCCCGAUGUCCAAGUUCCAGAUGAGGACCUGUGGAGGGGGUGAGGCUGUGUUUUGGGCCAUCCUAAAAUUCAUCUGGGUGCUGAAACCGCUUGCUCAUCGCUUCCAAAGCCCUCAGCCCAUCUUUAUGGGGUCACCCCUUGUGCAAAACCAACGCCUACAGGAGGGUGCAAGGCACGGUGCAUGGUUGCGUUUUGGACACCAGGAGCUGUUUGCAUGCGGUUCCCUGGGCUCACCUUGUAGUCAUAGCCGGCACUGAAGAGGAUGUUGUUGGUGGUGGGGUGCCACUCGACCAAGCCAACGCGCCGGCUGUGCCCAUACAGCUCCAGCACUGCCUCUGUCAUGUUCCUCUUCAGGCCCCCCUCUGGGAUUUCCCAUAUCCGCACCUGCACAGGACACAUAUUGGGAGGUCGUAUCCCCAGCAGGAGGGCAAUCCCCCCUAGCAGUGUAUAGAAGUUAUCAUCCAAGGUGGGAGACAGCUCCCCAUGAUUCAUAGCCAUGAUCUGCAUUUCUUCCCCAUUGAAACACUUCCUUGACAAGCUCUCAGUGACCAAAAAAAUACCAAUAAGUGGUGCUGAAGGAGAGGACGAGUUGUUGGGUGACAGCAUUCAGUGAAACGCAGUGUCUUUGUGAGCUGUCAAAAACUGGGUCACCCCAAAGCCUGGCUUCUGCUGUGCAGAAUGGGCCACGCUCCGCUCCCUUGUAGAGCCUUUUUCCUUUCCGUUACACUCUUUGGGAUGGACUCGUGUGCAUCCAGCAAAUAAGGGGGAGGCAGAUGUCAUCUGAUACAGAUGACCUGAUUCAGUGUCCCCCCAGUGGCAGGGCUGCCCUUGGCUCACACUGCUGCAUGCACCAGGACACGAGAGCAGCCGCAGCCCUGCGGUCUCUGCUAGCAGGAAGGAUUAAUAAUAGCACUGCUGUUGGGCUUGCAAAAAGCCAUCACUGUGCACAGCUGUGCAGGGACACAGAAAGAGCAGCACUCAAUGCCACAUGACACAGGGCACAGCAGAGGGGCUAAUCCCCAGCAGCAGCCCCUACACUGAUGGCACACGAGGUGCAGAUGUGCACAGUGUGCCACACAGCUGUGGAUUUACACAGUCUUCCAGUUGCCCACUCUUUGCUCGCUGAGCCAUCAGCAGGGCAGCGCACCACUCACCGAGGUGUCCUCGGAGCACGAGGCGAUGAUGUUCUCAAUGAAGGGGUUCCACUUGAUGUCGAGCACAUUGCCCUGGUGGCCGCAGACUUUGGGGUAGUUUGGCUCGAUCCGGCCUGUCUGUGAUUAAAAACGAGAGUGAAAAUUCAGUAAAACAGCCCUGUCUUUUUAAGGCUGGAGCCCUAGCAGGAGGCAGCCCCUAGCUCACCAGGGUGCUCUUUCCCUGGGAAGGCUCAGCUGAACCCUGCAGGCUAAGAGGUUUUCACAAACACAGGGCUGUUCCACAUGAGCUCCUGCACCACUAGUGGGGGGGGGUUGGUAAGAAAUCUCUGUAUGACCACUUGAAACCACAGGCAAAUAGCUGGGACUGGAGAGGCACCAACCUCAACCCUGGGCAGAUCAACCAUGAGGUGAAUUAGGAAACAGAUGGUAUUUUCCUCCCAAACUUUGCAAGUGAUCUCAACCAUGGUCCAUGUGUCCAUGAUAUUCCAGUUAUCAAAUCCCCAGUGACAUUAGUAACAUGAACUCUCUUGCUUAAUGAUGCUAAUAACGCAGCAGCUAUCCCAGGCCACUUGAUGUGCUCCUUUCACAUGGAUGGAAACCCUUCAAGACCUUUCGAAUGGUCGACGCUUGUCAGCUGGGUGAGGGAAGCUGCAGCAGAAAACAGCACACAGCUCCUGGUACAGCCUGAUGCUGGUUCCCACUGCAGAAAGCCCCAAGGAGCAAGCAGAGCAACCUCGCACUGAGUAUCCCCUUCCCUGCCACCAUCAGUGGCUGUCCCCAGGGCAAUGCCACUGGCACACAGCUGAGCAGAUGCCAUCGGCUCCCCAGGCCAACAAAGGCAGAGUGGGGGCGGAUGGCUGCCCUGGGCACUGUGCCUGCUGCUCCGCUCAACAGCUGUCACUGUGGUUGGGGACAGGAUGGGAAUGGGAUGGGGGGCAGGAUGGGGGAUACGGCAGGACUGCUCCCCGGGAGCUGCAGGAACGGUCUGCCUACAGAGCUCUUCCUUUCAGUUUGGGUUAUGGGCAAUGCAGAAGCAUCCUGGGGUGCUAUGGGGCCAUUCGGAACUCAGCACGAGGGACGGAUGCCCAUGGGCAGUGGGGACACAGCUAAAGGCACAGCACAGACUGCAAGCAGCAGCCCUGCCGUGAGCAGCAGCCCUGGGUUCUGGCUCCCUACAUGUAAACAAAGCCUCCUCCUAUUGUGUGAGCUUUGAUUCCAAACCCAGAAGAUGCAAAAAGGCUCUCGGCUCUAACAGCGCAGUUAAGCCCAUUCUCCACCAGAUGAAGGAAAAGAAGGAAAAGAAGAAGAGGAAAAAGAAGGAAAAAAGGAAGGAAGAGGAGAAGAAGAAGGGAAAGAAGAGGAUGAAGGAGAGGGAAAGGAAGAAGAAGAAGGUAGACAUGUCACCUCCAAAUCCCAUUUUUCCUACUGCUCUGUGGCUCCCUCAUCCACAGCCCUCCUUCCAGAAUGAAAGAGGGAGGUGCUCCCAGAAAAAUACAUGGGAUUUCCUUCCCAGUUCCACAACUUCAGCUUCUCUGAGCCCCAGGUCAGGCCUGGGAAUUGUCUGCACAUUGUUUGCUCUCGAGGAGGGUUCUGCUCCUGCCAAGCACCCAAAGGCUUUCAGUUGCAAGGAGCUGAAUUUCUGGUGUGCAGAGGAGCAUAUGGCCCAGCGUAUGCAAACACAUUCACAUUGGUGCUCGCAGCACAAAGCAGAGCAUUUUUCUGGGGAAGAUUUCUGGCGAGAACAGAGGGCAGAAAUGUAAAAAUAAAAUUUAUAUUAAAAAAAAACAAAUGAAGAAGAAGGAAAAAUGGCAGCAAAUCAGACCCCGAGUAGAUGCGCAGUAUCUAGGCUACCUUAAUUAUGUUCAGCUAAAUAUGGAUGCCAAUUAAUUAGGUGGCUGCUGAUUUCCAAAGAAAAUUAGUUUACUCUUAAUGAGCUAAUCAGCUCCUAUUUAAGAAAAAUAAUGAAAUUAUUAGGUUGUACAAAGGAGCGUGCAGCCAUCUGACACGGAGAGCCAAGGAGGCUCCAGUGGGGACCAUCCGGCAGCAGCAGUGCACCGCAGCGCUGGGCUUCUCUGUGGGCCAACCAUCCCUUCAGAACAGGUUGCAAAUGACAGCCUGGCAUUGUGCUCCAUUUGCCAGGAAAAAAAAGAAGAAGUGAAAAAGAAGAGUAAUUUGCUGGCAAAUUAGGGUUAUGGCUCAGGGUUUGGGAUGGCCGCAUGGGGCGUGGAUGGGUGUGCUCUGAGCUCGGGGCGCAGGCAGGAGGCAGCGAUGCAGCUCCGCCAAAGCUCCUUGUUUGCAGAAUAUUAAUAAGAGUCAAGCUGCGUGCCGCAAUUAAAAUGCUGAUUAUGAUUUCUUCCAUCUGUAGCUGAUGCUACUCAGGAAAUUAAAUAAAAAGGAAGGAGAGAUGUGGAUGUUACGUGGGGAAACGUCUGGGAGAGAAGCAGCCGUUGCCCACAGCUCCGCAUCCCGCACUGUGCUCUCAGAAGGCAGUUUUAUUUCCAAGGGUUUAAAAUUGCAUGAACGGGGGAUGU